rfam:Candidatus Komeilibacteria bacterium RIFOXYC1_FTLL_37_11 rifoxyc1_full_scaffold_446, whole genome shotgun sequence.
UGGUUGCUAAUUAAGGGUAUAUGGUGGAUGCCUUGACAUCAAAAGACGAUGAAGGACGUAGCAAUCUGCGAUAAGCUUCGGGUAGCUGAUAAGCAAGCUUUGAUCCGGAGAUCUCCGAAUGGGGAAACCCUUCCGUGUAAAGCGCGGAAACUACUAAGCGAAUACAUAGCUUAGUUAGAGAAUACCCAGCGAAUUGAAACAUCUCAGUAGCUGGAGGAAUAGAAAGAAUUAAUGUACUGAUAGAAUUUAAGGGCAACUAGUUUGCCAUUAAUUUCUAUUAGUAUCUCGAUUCCCUGAGUAGUGGCGAGCGAAACGGGAAUAGCCUAAACCACAUGACAGAUAAAUUAUUUUGAUCCGAGUCUUCGGAUGAGGGGAGAGAUAAUGCAAUAAUCAUAAGUUUAAUGCUACAUGUGGAGUUGUAAGAAGUUAUUAUUUGGAGUUUAUGAAUCCAAAACAUUUGUAUUUUUAUUUAGUAGAACAGUCUGGAAAGUCUGGCCAAAGAAGGUGAUAGCCCUGUAAAUAAAAGAUAAGAAUAAAGUGUUUAUAAUUUUCUUGAGUAACACGAGACCGGAGAAAUCUUGUGUGAAUCUGGCGUCACUAUGCGCUAAGGCUAAAUACUUUUGAUGAUCGAUAGUGAACUAGUACCGUGAGGGAAAGGUGAAAAGCACCCCGAGAGGGGAAUGAAAUAGUAUCUGAAACCAUAUACUUACAAGGAGUCGAAGCCCUAUGUCCGCUUUCGGGCGGAAAUGGGUAACGGCGUGCCUAUUGAAGAAUGAGCCAACGAGUUAGUUAUAUGUAGCUUAUUUAACUCCUUCGGGAGGAAGGUAAAGUGAAAGCGAGGAUUAAUAGUCCGUAACAAAUUUUAUAUUUUCCGUCUUCGGACGGAGGGUAUAAUAUUUGUAGGCUGCAUAUACUAGACCCGAAACCAGGUGAGCUUGCCAUGACCAGGGUGAAGCGGCAGUAACAUGUCGUGGAAGCCCGAACCCACUAGCCGUGCAACACUAGGGGAUGAGUUGUGGCAAGAGGAGAAAUUCCAAUCGAACCUGGCAAUAGCUGGUUCUCCUCGAAAUAGUUUUAGGACUAGCCUUGAAGUUUAAGUUUUGGCGGUAGAGCACUGGAUGGGGUGAGGUGGCAUUGCGUCCAUACUUACUCCAAUCAAACUCCGAAUGCCAUUACGUAUACUUCGGGAGUCAGACCAUGGGGGCUAAGCUUCAUUGGUCAAAAGGGAAACAGCCCAGAUCCAUAUCUAAGGUCCCUAAAUUUAGGUUAAGUGUGAAAGGUGGUGUCGUAACUUAUACAACUAGGAGGUUGGCUUAGAAGCAGCCAUCCUUUAAAGAUAGCGUAAUAGCUCACUAGUCAAGUUACUUUGCGCCGAAAAUUUAACGGGGCUAAACCUAGUACCGAAGAUUGGAAUGCACAGAUUUAUCUGUGCGUGGUAGAGGAGCGUUUUAUCUGCAUCGAAGCGAUACCGGAAGGAGUCGUGGAGCGGAUAGAAGUGAGAAUGUUGGCAUGAGUAGCAAAAAUCAGGGUGAGAAUCCCUGACACCGUAAACCCAAGGUUUCCUGGGCAAUGUGAAUCAACCCAGGGUUAGGCAGCCCUAAGGCGAGGCCGAAAGGCGUAGUCGAUGGAUGAGCAGGUUAAUAUUCCUGCCCUGCUGCUAUUUUUCGAUGGGGAGACGUGAUUUGAAUGCUUAGGCGUUAUUUGGUUAUGAACGUCUACUGAAAAAAUUUGUGCUUCAGGUAAAUCCGGGCACAUCAAAAUUUGAUCAGCGGAAAGACUGAGACCUCGGUCAAAGUCAAUCUAAGUUGAAGGGUCACCAAGAAAAACCUCUAGAGCUAAAAUAGUAGCAUCUGUACUGUAAACCGACACAGGUGGGUGAGGAGAGUAUCCUCAGGUGUACGAGAGAAACUUCCUUUAGGAACUCGGCAAAACAGCAGCCGUAACUUAGGGAUAAGGCUCGCUCCUCUUUAUUGAGGAGCCGCAGCGAAAGAUUUCAAGCGACUGUUUACCAAAAACUUAGGUCCCUGCUAAAGCGCAAGCUGAUGUAUAGGGGCUGAUGCCUGGCCAGUGUCCGAACGUUAAGGGGAUCCCUUCACGGGGAGAGCUGAAGCGCGGAUGAACGCCGGCCGUAACUAUAACGGUCCUAAGGUAGCGAAAUUCCUUGUCGGGUGAGUUCCGACCUGCACGAAUGGCAUAACGACUUGAAAACUGUCUCAAGGAAGUACUCGGCGAAAUUGCAAUACGAGUAAAGAUGCUCGUUAACCGUAGCCGGACGAAAAGACCCCGUGAAGCUUUACUAUAAUUUGGUAUUGAUUUAAUGCUAUAUUUGUUCAGCAUAGGUGGGAGACUUUGAAGCCUCGACUUCAGUCGAGGUGGAGUCACCAGUGAGAUACCACCCUUGUGUAAUAUUAAAUCUAACCUAUCCCCAUGAAUCUGGGGAAGGGACAGUAUCUGAUGGGUAGUUUAACUGGGGCGGUUGCCUCCCAAAAUGUAACGGAGGCGUUUACAAAGGUUGGCUAGCUCCUGAUGGAAAUAGGAGUCGUCGUGCAAACGCAUAAGCCAGCUUUACUGCAAGAGCCACAACUCGAGCAGUUGCGAAAGCAGAAGUUAGUGAUCCGACCGUACGAAAUAGGACGGCGGAAGCUCAACGGAUAAAAGUUACUCCGGGGAUAACAGGCUGAUCAGGUCCAAGAGUCCAUAUCGACGACCUGGUUUGGCACCUCGAUGUCGGCUCAUCGCAUCCUGGGGGUGGAGAAGCUCCCAAGGGUUAGGCUGUUCGCCUAUUAAAGCGGUACGCGAGCUGGGUUCAGAACGUCGUGAGACAGUUCGGUCUCCUAUCCGCUACGGUCGUUGAAUUUUGAGGGGAUUCUUCUCUAGUACGAGAGGACCGAGAAGAACGAAUCUCUAGUGUACCAGUUGUAUCACCAGAUGCAUUGCUGGGUAGCUACAUUCGGCGCGGAUAAGUGCUGAAAGCAUAUAAGCACGAAGCCGUCCCCAAGAUUAGAAUUCGUUAUAGAUCCCUGGGAGAUGACCAGGUUGAUAGGCUCUAUGUGUAAUUACAGUAAUGUAUUUAGCAAAGGAGUACUAAUAGAUCAAUAGCAACCAUU